GACGAACGCUGGCGGCGUGCUUAACACAUGCAAGUCGAACGGAAAGGCCCUGCUUUUGUGGGGUGCUCGAGUGGCGAACGGGUGAGUAACACGUGAGUAACCUGCCCUUGACUUUGGGAUAACUUCAGGAAACUGGGGCUAAUACCGGAUAGGAGCUCCUGCUGCAUGGUGGGGGUGGGAAAGUUUCGGCGGUUGGGGAUGGACUCGCGGGUUAUCAGCUUGUUGGUGGGGUAGUGGCUGACCAAGGCUUUGACGGGUAGCCGGCCUGGGUGGGUGACUGGCCACAUUGGGACUGAGAGAGGGACCAGCCUCCUAUGGGAGGCAGCAGUGGGGAAUAUUGCCCAAUGGGCGGAAGCCUGAUGCAGCAGCCCCGCGUGCGGGAUGACGGCCUGCGGGUUGUAAACCGCUUUCGCCUGUGACGAAGCGGGAGUGACGGUAAUGGAUAAAGAAGCACCGGCUAACUACGUG
rnacentral:rRNA from 1 species